UUCAGUUAUAGAAUGUAAACAUCGCGUAUAACGCAUUUUAAAUACAACUUUCAGCAACGGAUCUCUUGGCUCUCGCAUCGAUGAAGAACGCAGCGAAAUGCGAUAAGUAAUGUGAAUUGCAGAAUUCAGUGAAUCAUCGAAUCUUUGAACGCACCUUGCGCUCCUUGGUAUUCCGAGGAGCAUGCCUGUUUGAGUGUCAUGGAAUUCUCAACCUUUGAAAGCUUUUAUCGGUUCUCAAAGGCUUGGACUUGGAGGUCGUGUCGGCUCUGCAAAGAAUAUCGACUCCUCUGAAACGUAUCAGUGCGAACCUUUACGGAUCGUCUUCGGUGUGAUAAACGUCUACGCCGUGGUCGUGAAGUAUGAUCGUGUCCGUGCUUCUAACCGUCUCCUUUGCGAGACAAAAACUGUGUUACUUACUAUAAGUAACAUAGGCAUUGACAAUCUGACCUCAA
rnacentral:rRNA from 1 species